AUGGCGGACCGAGCGGAGUCAUCAGCAGCGGGCGGAACAGGGAAAAAUCUUGAGGAAUUGCUGCACCACCUGGAUCUCCAAGAUGACGAACUUGAUGAUGUGGUUGUAGGGGAAGAAGAGGUGAAGAAGUAUGCAGCGGAUGCUAGGUGGCUGGCAAUUGCGAAGGCGAACACUACUCGCACUUUUAGUUCAUCGGCGAUGUUCGAGUGCAUGAAAUCGAUCUGGUCGCUGGCACACGUCCUGACGUACAGAGAGGCGGGAGAAAAUUUGUUCAUCUUUCAGAUGUUUUGUCUUGGGGACUGGAAGAAGGUAGUGCAUGGAGGCCCAUCGCUUUUCAGGGGGAUGGGGAUGCUGAUAGAAGACUACGAUGGGAAGAAGGAGCCAACAUCUUUUGAAUUUGAUGGUUUAUACGUGUGGGCUCAAAUCCAUAAUAUACCAGAGCUCUACCGCAAAGCGGAGGUUGUUGAUCAACUCGCCCGUCGUAUUGGCAGGGUGAAAGAAGUGCAGCUCGCGCCUCGCUUGUUUUAUGAGGGAGAU
rnacentral:rRNA from 1 species